GCCUACGUGUGCAGACUCCGUCUCGGAGUCGAAUGCAUCUAAUGUAGUUAAAACGCUGUUUCUAUGGUAACGUCUUUACAAACCCGACGCUCGACCGGAAACUAAAGCGCGGCGUUAAUUACCGUACUGUAUCGAUAAGAAUGUUUUUUAAAAUGCUGUAAAUGUUCAAAACGGCCUUUCAGGAGAGGAUGAGAGUGGAGUCAUGGAGGAGGAUUUGUCGGUGCGUUUUACACGUUGCGGAGGAACGUUCCGGACGGGGACUUUUCAGACGGACCGAGUAGAGGUCUCGCAGCCGAGUCGUUACCCGUGCUGUUUUUUUAAAAUUAUUAUUAUUAUUAUUCUAAUAGAAGACGAUACGGACGGAAACGAAGGAUAAAAAGAGAGAGCCCCCGAGCCCGGCUCCGGCCUCCGCCUCUCAACGAGGGCAAAAAAAAUUGAAACUUUUUUUUUUUUUUGUAUUUUUUUUUGCAUGCGUAAAAAAGAAAUGAUUACAACGAUAAUGUCGAAACAAGCGCAGCGUGAGGCGGCGGUUUCAGCGCCGUGACCUGUCGUCCGUCCGCGUGAGGAGAAAGGAGAAAGGGGAGGAUUUGAAAGCCGGCCGAGGUCGAGGCCGUCCAGCUGCUCGCGUGAACCUGAGAACCUUACCAAAGUCCAGCGACUCCCCUGUUGUCAUGGUAACCGUGAGCCGGGCCUUCACUGCCGCUCUUGUUGAAGUGUUUGGGAUAAAUCUCUCUCUCGCUCUCUCCCGCGUAUCUGACCGCUCAUUACACAGAAAGCAGGUGAAGAUGUUUUAGAGAUCUGCGAUGACUGCUUUCUUUUUAUAGUUUUUUUUUUUUUAUUUAUUAAAAAAUAUAUAUAUGUAUUUAUUUUUAUCCCUCCUGUUAUUAUGUUACGGGUCACCGUGACCCAUUUCCACAUUUGAGGCGUCUGAAAUGCGGUUAAUCUCUCACUUUCUCUUUGAACUAUUUCGACGUUCCUCAUUUAGGGUCAUGAACUGGUAUGAAAUAUUUCUCCUGAGGAAAGCGGUUAUAAAGGUUUACUGUUUUAAGCCGUUCUUUGCUGUUUAUUAUGUCAGUUUGACCCCUAACAUAAUGGAUGUAACUAUCCCCCCCCCCCCCCCCCCCCCCCCCCCCUUCCAACGUAAUAUGAGGGUUAAAUGGCACUGAUUUACCGGUUACCGUAGCAACUGUAAGAAAACUUGCUGACUCUAUUGUACAGUACGGGCCCGAAGGGAGACGGCCGUCCUGACGCUGCCUUUUUUGGAUUGUGUUUUUUUCGAACGAAACACACCGGGAUGGUGACGAGAACUCUGGGAUAUCUGCUGUAGCCUGUUUACUCAGAAAUCCCACUGACGCCAACUGAAAUCAGACCUAAUCUCACCCACACACACACACUGUACUCUGCAUCGUCUGCUUCAGCUCUCUGUGUGUGUGUGUGUGUGUGUGUGUGUGUGUGUGUUUCAGGAAUGUGUACUCUCACCCACACACACUAUAUUCUGCAUCUUUCUCACCACUAAGCACUCUGCCUCUGGUGUGUGUGAGACAGAGAGGAUUUGUGGUUUAACACACACUGUGAUGUGUGUGUGUGUGUGUGUGUGUGUGUGUGUGUGUGUGUGUGUGUUCAGCACACAUCAGGAACGUGCACGGCUAUGCAAACUCUGGAAACUUGAUUUUUCUUGGGGUACAAUCAUAAAUGAACGUCAAGGUUGUUUAAAAAAAAAAAAAAGUCCCUGAAAUCCCAGGAGUGUGUGUGCUGAUGAUGUCAGUUUUAGUCAUAUCAAGUACACACACACACGCGCGCACACACACACACAGACGAGGACGUUAAAAAAAAAAAUAGAAAAACUUACUGUGGCAUAAUGUGCCAAAACAUCGACCAAGCAACACCAGGUCUCUCACACACUUAUCUUAUCAGAAGGACAAAACAGUAAUGCAGAGCAGAGAACAACGCUGUAGUGGUAUUUCUGGCUCACUGCUGUAGCGCGUCACGCCUCAUUAACUGGGUUAUUCUGAAAGGAUUUAUAUGGGAAAAGUCUUCAAAGUAUCCGAUGUGAAACAUUGUGUUUAGGAAGGCGGGGAGACUGAAUAACAGCAGGUUAAAGGCAUUGGGAGGAAAGGUAUGAAGGCAGCAGGACAGAAGGGCAGCAAGGAAGAAAAGUAGAAAGGCAGCAAGGAAGAAAGGCAGCAGGGCAGAAUGGCAGGAGGAGGAAAGGUGGAAAGGCAGCAGAACAGAAUGGCAGUAGGAAGAAAGGUAGAAAGGCAGCAGGGCAGAAUGGCAGUAGGAAGAAAGGCAGCAGGGCAGAAUGGCAGUAGGAAGAAAGGCAGCAGGGCAGAAUGGCAGUUGGAAGAAAGGUAGAAAGGCUUCAGGGCAGAAUGGCAGUAGGAAGAAAGGUAGCAGGGCAGAAUGGCAGUAGGAGGAAAGGUAGAAAGGCUUCAGGGCAGAAUGGCAGUAGGAGGAAAGGUAGAAAGGCAGCAGGGCAGAAUGGCAGUAGGAGGAAAGGUGGAAUGGCAGCAGGGCAGAAUGGCAGUAGGAGGAAAGGUAGAAAGGCUUCAGGGCAGAAUGGCAGUAGGAGGAAAGGUAGAAAGGCAGCAGGGCAGAAUGGCAGUAGGAGGAAAGGUGGAAUGGCAGCAGGGCAGAACGGCAGAAAGGCAGCAGGAGUCUGGGUUCUAUAUAUAUUUAUUAUUAUUAUAAUUUUUGUCCUCGGAUUAUUAGAAAACCUCUAUAUAUAAACCUUGGAACUUGGCCGAAUCUUGCUGACACUGAAAUAUUUCUCCAACACAAACUUUUUUUUUUAAAUAAUCGAGUCGAUAAUCUUUUCUUUCCCCCCCGUCUCCAGUCUCGGAUGCGGACAGUUCGGACGGCCUGCAAUUGAAGAAGGACCAUGCCUUAAGAGUUUUCAACUACAUCGGCACAUGGACACAGAGGUCGGGUUCUUCUUUCGCUCAUCAUUUAUUCAUAGUUUAUUUAUUAUUUAUUCACCCAUUCAGUGUUAUGUAUAAUAUAUACACACGGCAUUGAUUUUCUCCGCGCUGACCCGCAGGUAAAGGUCCUGUAGAGUUUCACGUUCUAAGGUGUUCUGCACCGUCGUAUAGAUAAUAACAUGC
ensembl:lncRNA